GGGCAUGUUGGAAACCAGUUGAGUUUUUUUAAAUUUUUUUUGAGAUGGAGUCUCACUCUGUCACCCAGGCUGGAGUGCAGGGGCCUGAUCUCCACUCGCUGCAACCUCUGCCUCCUGGAUUCAAGCAAUUCUCCUGCCUUUGCCAAAUCUUCCUUUGAAUUCUAAUAAUUCCUUGCUUCAUUAGUAUUGAUACUAUGAUAGUUAUGCAUAAAGAAUUUUUAUGGUUAUAGCCCUGUCUGAAUUAUCCCUACUGCACUCCAGCCUGGGUGACAGAACAAGAUCCUGUCUCAAAAAAGAAAAAAAGAAAAAGGAAAAAAAGGUGAACUAGAUUCUUAAAAUUCAUAU
rnacentral:lncRNA from 1 species